UACAGAGGUCCCGAGCGUUGUUCGGAUUCAUUGGGUUUAAAGGGUCCGCAGGCGGAUUUAUAAGUCAGUGGUGAAAGCCCGUCGCUCAACGACGGAACUGCCAUUGAUACUGUAAGUCUUGAAUUCGAUCGAAGUGGGCGGAAUAUGACAUGUAGCGGUGAAAUGCUUAGAUAUGUCAUAGAACACCGAUAGCGAAGGCAGCUCACUAGGUCUGGAUUGACGCUCAGGGACGAAAGCGUGGGGAGCAAACAGG
rnacentral:rRNA from 1 species